UAGGGAAUAUUGCACAAUGGGCGAAAGCCUGAUGCAGCAACGCCGCGUGCGCGAAGAAGGCCUUCGGGUCGUAAAGCGCUUUUUGGGGAGAUGAGGAAGGACAGUAUCCCCAGAAUAAGGCUCGGCUAACUACGUGCCAGCAGCCGCGGUAAAACGUAGGAGCCAAGCGUUAUCCGAAUUCACUGGGCGUAAAGCGCGUGCAGGCGGCUCGAUAAGUUGGAUGUGAAAGCUCCCGGCUCAACUGGGAGAGGCCGUUCAAUACUGUCGGGCUAGAGGGCGGCAGAGGGAGGUGGAAUUCCCGGUGUAGUGGUGAAAUGCGUAGAUAUCGGGAGGAACACCAGUGGCGAAGGCGGCCUUCUGGGCCGCACCUGACGCUCAGACGCGACAGCUAGGGGAGCGA
rnacentral:rRNA from 1 species